rnacentral:tRNA from 1 species
GGUACCGUAGAACAAUUGGUUAGUUCAACAGACUGUUAAUCUGAAGGUUGUUGGUUCGAGUCCAGCCGGUACCG